rnacentral:rRNA from 1 species
GACGAACCGUGCGAACGUUGUUCGGAAUCACUGGGCUUAAAGGGCGCGUAGGCGGGUGUGCAAGUCUGUGGUGAAAGCCUCCAGCUUAACUGGAGAAGUGCCAUGGAUACUGCACAUCUUGAGGAGGGUAGGGGCAUCUGGAACGGUCGGUGGAGCGGUGAAAUGCGUUGAUAUCAUCAGGAACACCAGUGGCGAAAGCGGCUUACUGGGUCUCUUCUGACGCUGAGGUACGAAAGCCAGGGGAGCGAAGGGG